ACCAAGAAUUGACAAGCAGA
rnacentral:snRNA from 1 species